GGUUAAGCGACUAAGCGUACACGGUGGAUGCCCUGGCAGUCAGAGGCGAUGAAGGGCGUGCUAAUCUGCGAUAAGCGCCGGUAAGGUGAUAUGAACCGUUAUAACCGGCGAUACCCGAAUGGGGAAACCCAGUGUGAUUCGUCACACUAUCAUUAACUGAAUCCAUAGGUUAAUGAGGCGAACCGGGGGAACUGAAACAUCUAAGUACCCCGAGGAAAAGAAAUCAACCGAGAUUCCCCCAGUAGCGGCGAGCGAACGGGGAGGAGCCCAGAGCCUGAAUCAGCAUGUGUGUUAGUGGAAGCGUCUGGAAAGGCGCGCGAUACAGGGUGACAGCCCCGUACACAAAAGCGCAUGUGCUGUGAGCUCGAUGAGUAGGGCGGGACACGUGGUAUCCUGUCUGAAUAUGGGGGGACCAUCCUCCAAGGCUAAAUACUCCUGACUGACCGAUAGUGAACCAGUACCGUGAGGGAAAGGCGAAAAGAACCCCGGCGAGGGGAGUGAAAAAGAACCUGAAACCGUGUACGUACAAGCAGUGGGAGCACCCUUCGGGGUGUGACUGCGUACCUUUUGUAUAAUGGGUCAGCGACUUAUAUUCUGUAGCAAGGUUAACCGUAUAGGGGAGCCGGAGGGAAACCGAGUCUUAAC
rnacentral:rRNA from 1 species